UACAGAGGUCUCAAGCGUUGUUCGGAAUUACUGGGCGUAAAGGGUGCGUAGGCUGCGUUGUAAGUCAGGCGUGAAAGCUCGGGGCUCACCCUCGAAACUGCGCUUGAUACUGCGAUGCUAGAGGACUGAAGAGGGAUCUGGAAUUCACAGUGUAGCAGUGAAAUGCGUAGAUAUUGUGAGGAACACCAAAGGCGAAAGCAAGAUUCUUGGCAGUACCUGACGCUGAGGCACGAAGGCCAGGGGAGCAAACGGG
rnacentral:rRNA from 1 species